rnacentral:misc_RNA from 1 species
GAACGCACAUUGCGCCCUUUGGUAUUCCUUAGGGCAUGCCUGUUCGAGCGUCAUUUACACCCUCAAGCACAGCUUGGUGUUGGGCGUCUGUCCCGCUUCGGCGCGGACUCGCCUCAAAACGAUUGGCAGCCACUUCAGCGGCUUUGAGCGCAGCAGAAUUGCGUCUCUCGUCGCGGCGGGUGGCAUCCAGUAAGCAACAUUUAUAUCUUGACCUCGGAUCAGGUAGGGAUACCCGCUGAACUUAAG